ensembl:lncRNA
CCUAUCACUGUUACAUGGGAGAAGAAACCAACCCCCACCUCACCACAACCUCCUUUCAGGCAGUUGUAGAGGGCAAUAAGGUCUCCCCUGAGCCUCCUCUUUUCCAGACAAAGUGCUCCAGACAAGAUGCUGCCUAUUAGAGGCAUUUGUAUAAUUGAAGUGGUCUAUAUUUAUCAGAAGUGCAUGGAGUGCCCACCUCAAGGGUUGGGCGCCCAGCGACUUGGAAAACAUUAGCUUUCCUAAUGAAUCAUCAGGGAGAAGAACCUAAAAAUAUGACUGAGCUCUAAGAGGACAUGUCCUGGAGCUCAGGGAGCCAAAGUCAGGUGGCACCAAGCGCCAUCCUGGCACUGGCUGUAGUUGGGAUGCUAUGCUCAGAAACUCAUUGCCUGUGAGAGAGCAGGACCUGUACUGGAUCCUCAUUUCAGACUUCUGCUGACAGAGGAAGACUCUUGAUCACGCAGGGGUCUGCUGAAGAUGUUUAGAGGACCACUACUGCUGCUUCGUCUUGAAACCGAAAGCCAACGCAGAUUCAGCUUUGCCUGGGAGGUCCUACUGCAUGUGGCUGGAGGCAGCAAGGUGGUCAUACAGCCUGAGGGGUGUUUCUGCUGUCGUGCAUGAACAGAAGUGGUUAAGGAGAGAUGUCUUAGGCAAAUAGAAGAGCUGGAGGAGAAUAAUGGAUAGUCUCUUGUUUGUUUUUUACUGCUGUAAGUAGUUAUGUUUCCCCACCAUGCCUGAGAACACAGCUUAGUUUGGGCAGAGUGGUCGUCUCCCUGCGGGCCCUAUGGUGAUUUUGUGCAGUGUCUAGUAUGUAACAUCUGUCUUUUUAAGCUCUUAAUCACUGUGUCCUGGAUCAUAAUUCUGCCUUCCCUUAUAGUGAAUGGAAGAUCUGCCUGCUGGAGGCAGAGACGGGCCACAGAGCCUGUCCUGCUGCAUGGUCUUCUCAAUGUAUUGAUGGUCAACUUGGGUGACCAUCUUGAUGGCUCUGCAUCCCUGUAGUGCUCCUUGCAAUGCCCUUGGUCCCCAGCAUCACCUAGUUUAGCAUCCUGCUCUAUACAGCGUGUGUGUUUGCUCAAGGUGGCACAAAAGGAGUACGUGCAAUUCACACAGACAGUGAAUCCACUUGAAAUGCAACACAAUGAUAAAGAGGUUAAACUGCACUGAGCCAAUGAAUUAAUGACCCAUCACAACCAAGGUCAAUGUGCCUCUCGGUAGCAUCCACAGAGCAGUCAUUCUCACUCAAGUAAAAUAAUCCCCAGGGCUCACUCUGACCCAUCUGGAGCCUCCACGUUUUGUUAUGGUUUGGAAAAGCUUCAUCAGAAAGUGGUCUCUCAUUGCUAUUGUUGCAUGUUUCCAAAGAACAGCUCUCUCCUGUGAAUGUCAGGGUUGAGGUUACCUAAAUGAGCUGUAGAGCUUCUUGAGUGCUGCAGCCAAUAUUAAUUUAGCCCUGAAAGAGGGAUACUGCUGAGCUGUGGGCUAUGAGAAGAAGCAGAGUCUUGGGGCCAGUGGAAGUGACACACAGAGUGAAAAGACAGGAGGUGCAGCAGCUCAGGGUCUUCCCCAGGAUGGAGGGACACAGGUACAGGCUGCUGUCAUGUUGGUGCUCUGCACAGAUGUCUAUAUGCACUCUUUGUAUGAACUGCACCUGGAUGCUUGCCUGUGGGUUCCUGUGGUCGCUGCCCAGCCCACCCAGUGACCUGGACACCCAUUGGUAGCACUAGACUAGUACUCCUGAACUAUUGCUCCAAGCACCUGGGGGCAGCUCCCUGCCACUCCUGGCUGUGACUUGUCCUUCCAACCCAGUACCACCAGCAUGGAUGCACUGGUCAAUGAGCCCUGGGAAAUGAGGCUCUGUUGCACAGCAACCAAGGAAAGGCACUGCUCCAAAACUAACUAUGGAGCUGCUCUGCGCACUGCAUAUUUCUUAAGCAAGGUAAUUUAUUUGGAAGAGAGCUGGUUCUGGCGGCACUCCUCAUGCACAUUUUCUGCUCUCCUCCAUCCUCCAUGCACACAGCUCUGCUGUUCCAGAGCUCCUCUCUCCUGCCCUGGCUGUGAGUCCCUAUCCUGCAAGAGCUGCUGCAAUUGCUUUUUAUUUUUAAGCCCUGUGCCACAAAUACCUGACCUUGAUCAUCCACUUGCAGCCCCAACAGCUUCACACGUCCUCAUUUAGCCACCAAUGCCCAGCCCAUGAGGGAGGAUACAGAAGACCCUCAUCUGUCAGUUGGCUGUGUGCAAGGAGAUGCAUGUGAUAAAUCGAUCUGAGAGGAAGCGUGACUCCCCAAAGCAAGGACACUGCUAAAGAGGAUAUGGGCCCGCAGGCCGUCAUGCAAGGAAGGAUAUCAGUGCGGCCUCAGUCAAGAGAGAAAGCCAGACCACCACACUCAGGCUUGGCUGUAAGUACCCAGGCAUUCAGAAGAGUUGAACUCGGUGUUCUGGGCUUGAGUUUUGGUGGCACCUGCUUCCAACUGGCUUAUCGAGCUCGCAAAUUCACUGCAGUCCCUUAACGCAAAGGCACUUGGUAAGCUUUCCCUUACUCCUUGGGCUGAAAGGUGAAGUUGAACCUAGAGGGCUCAUGAGUGCUCUACCACAUUUUCGAGGUGCAAAGCCAAGCACACGCAGAGAGGGAUUUGCCAUGGUACAUGUAAAGAUACGGGAAGCGAUGGGAGUACUCAUUUUGGGGCCAGGAAUGUGCUUUUGGUGCUAUAGCCAGGUCUGCUGCAAAAUUUCAGCUUGACAGCAAUGCCCAGGAUGCUAAGUGUGCCCUACUGAGAGAUCCUUCACCCUGAGACGGGCACCAGCUGAUACAUAAAUUGACAUUUCCCCCCAGCUUUCCGAAGAGGCUUACAGCAGGUUCUCUAAUUGCACAAGUGUUUAGCACGUCCUGACUAAAUUUCUCCAGGCGCUGCUAAUGAAAGUGAAUCUACUGGGAUGACGAAUGGCUUCCUCUUCUCACCCACAGCUGCUGCAACUGUUUCUCGUGCCCCAGUGCUGCCUUGCUGACUCUUGGAUGCCGCCUGUGCAUGGCCAGGCACUGUGCAUGGGCAUACCCUGCCUGCUUGGUGUGGGUUAUCAGUGGUCAGUUCCCAUGUCAGCUAAUAGCUCUGGUGGAAGAGGACUGAUCUGUGAGUCUCUUGUUGUCCUCCUGUCCAUGCUGGGUGGGGAGACUGAAUAAAACACAUCGGAUGCUGCAGGAAGAUGCAAGAUUUGAAUAAAUUCCCCUUCCUUCUCCGUAAUCAAAACGUUUCUCCCCCGAGAACGCCUUGAUUAAUCGAUCUCACAACUGACAAAUCGAGGAUGGGAAUUCAAAAUCCAAUUGAAACGGAGGAAAACAACAUUAUGCACCAUCUGAUGCAGUCAGCGAUGUCACAGAAUGAAAUGACUGCAGAAAAACAGGGCCUUGUGCUGGAGGAGCCAUCAUUAAAAUGUGGCGAGGGUAUUAUUAAGUAAAAGAACAUUGAUUUUGUUUGAAGGAUUUGGCCGUCCAUAUUAAAUAUCAUCUCGGUAAUGUGAUCUCAGUAGUUGCUUGAAAUGUCAGCCUCACUUGGCUACAUCUGUUUGCUGGGGCUGCUGCUGGAAAAUGGAAAUGAAAAUUUCGUUCUUUAUCAGCCAUUGGUCUGCAUUAGCAACUUGAUAGGCUUCACCCAUACGGGGCUGAAUUAGCGUAGGAGCUCACUACAGGGAAUAUAGGUAUGCCAGGAACGCUGGUGUAUAUCAAACAUGCGUGACAGUAACAAGAUGAGUAAUUUAUGCAGGCAGAAGCAGCCACCAUAGCGGGAUAUUUCAAAGCCAGGAACCUCUGUAAGCUCUGGGCUUUCAUGUGAUGUGCACUAUGGAUCCAACACCGGUCCAGGUCCCCUGCUGCAUGAGUACACGCCGUGCUGCUGGCUUCAGCUCCAUGUUCCUGCUUUGGGAGAGCAGGGAGCAUCUCUGCACCCACGGACACUGCUUCUGUCAGGUACCCAAAUACCAGUGUCCUUUGUAGUGAGGGAGGUAGAAAUGUGUCUGUGUUCUAUGAGAGUCCUGCUGAAGGCAGCCCUUGGCUGGGGCAGCCUACAAAGCCACUUGUCACUGCUGGGGACGUCUGUCUGUGUCUCUGGGAGAAGUGCUCAGCACUGCCACCAGCUCAACCUGCCAAGAGGAAAGCAGCAGCCGUGUCCCAGCCUGGGCAGGGGUUGGGACUGGGUGGGCUAUCAGAUCCCUACCAACCCAAGCCAUCCUAUGAUAUUUUCUAUGGAAAAAAAAGAAAGAAAGAAAAAAAAAAAAAAAAGGAAUAGGAGAAGAAAAUGGAAAGAGGAUACUUUUGUGUUUGUUGGGUGAGUCUGGUAGCCACAGAGCACAAAGGGGAAAAUAUACGUGGGCAGCAAAACACAGAAGAUUUUGUGUGAUGCCAGCAAUUUUUCUUUCCUUUUCUGAGAAAGGAGCUGUGUGGACGUGAGGUGUGAGAUCUUGCUCUUUCAAAUGGCUGAGUCAAACACCAGCUCAAUUAGAGAGAGCAGUGCAGGAACAUGAAGGACACAGGAUGACCGUGUUUUGUCGUUCCUCCUGGAGACUCAACACGUGUAGCGAGCAGGAAGGAGGGAAAAGGCUGUGAUCGGAUUCAGACAGGAUUUGGAUAGCAGUUUUCAAAUGAAAUUUAAAGGUCAUUUUUAAACCCAAAUGCAGAGUGCUGCUCCAAGCAUGAGCAGACUGGCAAACAAUCUGCAUUUUUCCACUUAAUAUUACUUCUAGGGAUGUGUUUACCACAUAGGCAGGCAAAGCAACCUCAGGGAAAAAAGAAAAAAAGGAAAAAGAAUUACAGAUGUUAUGCUGGGUACAUUGUCAAAAUACAUACCCACGGAGCAACAGCUGGAAGUUAUAGAUGUUCUUAACCUAAGGAUUUUCUUCUCUAUAACUGACCACUGAUACUGAUUUUUUUUUGCACGUGAGCAGUAGUCCACGUGGCAAAAGCCAAAUGUGGAGGAGGAUACUAAAAAGUGGUUGUUGGCCACAAUGGCUGUUUUCCUUAGGGCUCUGGCGACCACUGGAGACGGAUCACUAGCAUCCCUAUCCGAGUGCUGCAAUAUGGGGUUGGUUUGGGGUUUUGCUGCCCUUGCAUUCACUCUCCCUUGCAAGCUUCCCCACAUGCUGCCCUUCCUUCCAAGCAGCACGGGGGGGAAAGACGCCGCCACCCUACACACUCCCCUUUGAGGCCAUGUUUUGCUGUCCUGGCAUGUGCGCAUUGCCUCCACCGCCGCCCUCCGUUGAGCUGUGCACUGAAUGAUGAUGAAGUGACAUCGUCAUGGCAACACGUGUUGACUUCCCGGUUGCAUAGCAACCUGAUGCAGGCUGAUGUAAGAGGUGUGCUUGUUUCCUCUGCUGGCUGCACUCCUUUGAUGUGCCUACGAGAUUUGGGCUUGUUUUAGUCUAUUUUCUUUCAUUUUCUGGACAUGUUGUGACAUCAGUGUGAUGCUGUGUGUGUGCACAGAGGAAAAGAGAUAAAGCUUAUCUCCUUCAAACGUCCUCCUUGGGGCACUAAGAUACACAGCUUGUUUUUAGAGGCUCGAUAGCAUUCAAUCUUGUCAUUAUUUUGUGUAAUAUAGACCCGAGGAGACCAGAAGACACCUUUAAGUGAUUUUGACUCAAGCUUCCCUCUUGAUUUUGCAUAGUCUUUUCCAAGUGCCCAACAUCCUUGUGUGUGGGGCAGGUCUGCUUUUCAUGGCAUCACAGCUCAGUGCCAUAGGGAAGCUGCAGGUCUGAUUUUUGUGCAGAGUCGGCUGGGUUUGCUGUUUCAUGGGGCAUCUGCAGUAGAGGAAGACUACUAAAUCUUUGUUUACAGUCAUCACAUUGAAUUUCUGCACCCAGCAGGAAAUGAUAAAAAUCUGCAAUGUCCUUCUUGCUGAAGGCUGUGUUUCUUUAUACUGAAGCAGAAGAAAGUUUGUCCGUGUAGAUCAAUGGAAGAUGGAGAAACACUUCUGGUAAUGGGAUGCGUGGCCCAGGGAGAGAAUUAGAAUAUCCUGAGUUGGAAGGGACCCGGAUGGAUCACCAAGUCCAACUCCUGAAGCAGCAGGUUAUGAGACAGCCUGGAAGGGGAAAGGACAACAAGCCCUUACGGCCCAGACUCUGCUUUAGGGUACCACAGACAUAGGGCCAUCAUGGGAAUGCCAGGACCUCCUCCAUCAGGCACCUCAGCUCAAAGAGGGGUGAAACUGGAGAUAAGGGCCUCGUGCACACAGACCUGUGCCAGUAUCUUUUUGUACUACGUGAGGUGAUAAGACUGGGCACUUGGGAAUGGCACCUAUGCCAUCAUUCAUGAGCAGGCAUUGUCCUACCUGGUUUGGGGGAGGGACUGCUUAGCAUGGGAACCUACUGGUGUCCAUUAAGGGGAAAAAGUCCUCACCCCAGUCGGAAAAUCCGCGUAUGUCCCAAUAACUCCACAG